AGUGAACGCUGGCGGCAGGCCUAACACAUGCAAGUCGAGCGGCAGCGCGGGGGCAACCCUGGCGGCGAGCGGCGGACGGGUGAGGAAUUCGUCGGAAUCUGCCUUUUUGUGGGGGAUAACGUAGGGAAACUUACGCUAAUACCGCAUACGUCCUACGGGAGAAAGUGGGGGACCGCAAGGCCUCACGCAGAAAGAUGAGCCGACGACCGAUUAGCUAGUUGGUUGGGUAAAGGCCCACCAAGGCGACGAUCGGUAGCUGGUCUGAGAGGAUGAUCAGCCACACUGGAACUGAGACACGGCCCAGACUCCUACGGGAGGCAGCAGUGGGGAAUAUUGGACAAUGGGCGAAAGCCUGAUCCAGCAAUGCCGCGUGUGUGAAGAAGGCCUUCGGGUUGUAAAGCACUGUUGUCCGGAAAGAAAUCCCUGGAGCUAAUCCCUUCGGGGGAUGACGGUACCGGAAGAAUAAGCACCGGCUAACUUCGUG
rnacentral:rRNA from 1 species